rnacentral:rRNA from 1 species
GUAGGUGGCAAGCGUUGUCCGGAAUUAUUGGGCGUAAAGCGCGCGCAGGCGGUUCUUUAAGUCUGAUGUGAAAGCCCACGGCUCAACCGUGGAGGGUCAUUGGAAACUGGAGAACUUGAGUACAGAAGAGGAAAGCGGAAUUCCACGUGUAGCGGUGAAAUGCGUAGAGAUGUGGAGGAACACCAGUGGCGAAGGCGGCUUUCUGGUCUGUAACUGACGCUGAGGCGCGAAAGCGUGGGGAGCAAACAGGAUUAGAUACCCGUGGUAAUCCACGCCGUAAACGAUGAGUGCUAAGUGUUAGGGGGUUUCCGCCCCCUUAGUGCUGCAGCUAACGCAUUAAGCAUUCCGCCUGGGAGUACGGCCGCAAGGCUG